UCUGGGGUUGGUGGUGCACACCUGAAAUUUCUGCUACCAGGGAGGCUGAGAUUGGUGGAUUGCUUGAGUAUAAGAGUUCUGAGCUGCGAUAGGUCAAAGCCAACUGAGCCUCUCUACUACAUCUGGCACUAGUAUAGUGAGCCCCCAGGAAGAGUGGUCACCAGGAUGCCUAAGGAAUUGGGUGGACUGACCCAGGUCUGAAAUGGAGUACAUCAAAGCUUCUCUGCCAGUUGGUAGUGGGAUUUGCCUAUGAGGAGGCAAUGUGCUUCCAGCCUGGGCAAGAUAGAGACACCCAGUCUCAA
ensembl:misc_RNA Metazoa_SRP Metazoan signal recognition particle RNA